AGUGGCCGUAAAGCUGUUCGCUCGGUGCGACGCGAGUCUCAGCUCAGCGCUUAUCCUGGGUCCACCGGCGCUACCGCCCCCCGACGCUCCUGUGACGUUUGAUGACAUCACUGUGUACUUACUCCAGGAGGAAUGGGUGCUGCUGAGCCAGCAACAGAAGGAGCUCUGUGGUUCCAACAAGCUGGUGGCACCACUGGGUAUGGGUGCCCAUCCACAUCCCUGCCACUGUCAAUUUAGAUCGGCAUUCCCAACCUCAUCUGCAUCAGGAACACUGGAGAGAGUUUUCUGGAAUCCAAGCAUUUGUCUAGGCAUCUUUACUCCACCUGUCUGCUCGAUCCCGUAUCUACCUUAAUUGCAUGCAAAUUCACACAUCACCCUUUCUCUUCUCCCCUUAAAAUGGUCAAGAGAAGUGGGGCAAUCUGGCAGGCCUGGGCUAGACUCCUGGGUCUGUCUCCUGGUGCCUCAGAAUCCCCCAAGGGGCCGGGAGGGAAACUCGGAAACUAGGCCUGUGGAUCUGUGGAGCCCGUAGGACACUGGAGGUAGGAAGCAGUG
rnacentral:sRNA from 1 species